rnacentral:tRNA from 3 species
GCGAAAGUGGCGGAACUGGUAGACGCGCUGGUUUUAGGUAUCAGUGGGGUAACCCAUGGGAGUUCGAGUCUCCCCUUUCGCACCA